AAGUUAUACUGGUGCUGGAGGUUCUAUUGGUACUGGAGGAGGUUCUACUGGUACUGGAGGAGGUUCUACUGGUACUGGAGGAGGUUCUACUGGUGCUGGAGGAGGUUCUAUUGGUACUG